GACGAACGCUGGCGGCGUGCUUAACACAUGCAAGUCGAGCGGAGCGGCGAACGGGUGAGUAACGCGUGAGUAACUGCCCCCCUCGCUGGGAUAACAGUUGGAAACGGCUGCUAAUACAGGACAGUGGGGGAUGACUCGCGUGCUAUCAGCUUGUUGGUGGGGUAGUGGCGUACCACGGCGACGACGGGUAGCCGGCCUGGGAGGUGGACCGGCAACAUUGGUCUGAGAGACGGCCCAAACGCCAACGGGGGGCAGCAGUGGGGAAUCUGGCGCAGUGAGGGCAGCCCUGAUGCAGCAACGCGCGGGCGUGAUGACGGCCUUCGGGGUGUAAACGGCUUUCAGCCAUGACGCGGUAGUGGCAGAAGAAGCACCGGCUAACUACGUGCCAGCAGCCGCGGUAAUUC
rnacentral:rRNA from 1 species